rnacentral:rRNA from 1 species
AUCAACGCUGGCGGCGCGCUUAACACAUGCAAGUCGAACGAGAAAGUCCGCAAGGGAUGAGUAAAGUGGCGUACCGGGUGAGUAACACGUGGUAAUCUACCUUCUAGUGGGGGAAUAACUCCGGGAAACCGGGGCUAAUACCGCAUAAUUCACCGCGAGAGGUAAAGGUAGCAAUGCGCUAGGAGAGGGAGGUCCCGCGGCUGAUUAGCUAGUUGGUGAGGUAAUGGCUCACCAAGGCAAAUGAUCGGUAUCCGGCCUGAGAGGGCAGCACGGCCACACUGGCACUGAAACACGGUCCAGACUCCUACGGGAGGCAGCAGUGGGGAAUCUUGCGCAAUGGGGGAAACCCUGAUGCAGCAACGCCGCGUGGAGCGAUGAAGUCCCUUCGGGAUGUAAACUCCUUUCGACAGGACGAUAAUGACGGUACGGCUGAAGAAGAAGCACCGGCUAACUCUGUGCCAGCAGCCGCGGUAAUACAGUAGGGCAGCAGCGUUGUUCGGAAUUACUGGGCGUAAAGAGUGCGUAGGCGGUGCCGGCUAAGUUAGGUGUGAAAUCUCCCGGCUCAACUGGGAGGGUGCAGGCCGAAACUGGAGUGCUGGAGUGUGGGAGAGGCAGCGGAAUUCCCUGGUGUAGCGGUGAAAUGCGUAGAUAUCAGGGAGGAACACCUGUGGUGUAGACAGCUGGCACUGGACCAUAACUGACGCUGAGGCAGCGAAAGCUAGGGGAGCAAACAGGAUUAGAUACCCUGGUAGUCCUACGCCCUAAACUAUGCAUGCUUGGUGUGAUGGUACCAAUUCCAUUGUUCGUGCCGAAGCUAACGCGUUAAGUAUCCCGCCUGGGGAGUACGGUCGCAAGGCUGAAACUCAAAGGAAUUGACGGGGGCCCGCACAAGCGGUGGAGCAUGUGGUUUAAUUCGACGCAACGCGAAGAACCUUACCUGGGCUCGAAGCGGCAGUGGCAUACCGGUUAGGAAAAUAGGACCUUGCCCGCAAGGGACUGUAGCGGAGGUGCUGCAUGGCUGUCGUCAGCUCGUGUCGUGAGAUGUUGGGUUAAGUCCCGCAACGAGCGCAACCCUCUGUCCUGUUGCUAAUCGCGUAAUGGGAGGCACUCGCAGGAGAACCGCCAUCGGAUAACGUGGGAGGAAGGUGGGGAUGACGUCAAGUCAUCAUGGCCUUUAUGUCCAGGGCUACACACGUGCUACAAUGGAUCGGUACAAACCGUCUGCAAACCCGCGAGGGAGAGCUAAUCGGCAAAAAAGCCGGUCUCAGUUCGGAUUGGCAGUCUGCAACUCGCCUGCAUGAAGCUGGAAUCGCUAGUAAUCGCAGAUCAGAACGAUGCCGGUGAAUACGUUCCCGGGCCUUGUACACACCGCCCGUCACAUCACGAAAGUGGACAUUGUACUAGAAGCCGGUGCCGCCAACCCGCAAGGGGAGCAGCGUCCCAAGGUAUAGUUCAUGAUUGGGGUG